AUACUUACCUUGAUGCGACUUCCCAGCUCAUAAAGUGGGAAGCUCCAAAGACUGGGCCCUCAUUGCACUGCGAGGGUUAUCUGGUCUUUGCGAAAUGUCUUAGGAUGUUUCGGCGUCACAAUUUUUGAUUGUCACUAUUGUGUUGACGUUAUUGG
rnacentral:snRNA from 1 species